rnacentral:rRNA from 1 species
GACGAACGCUGGCGGCGUGCUUAACACAUGCAAGUCGAACGGAAAGGCCCUGCUUUUGUGGGGUGCUCGAGUGGCGAACGGGUGAGUAACACGUGAGUAACCUGCCCUUGACUUUGGGAUAACUUCAGGAAACUGGGGCUAAUACCGGAUAGGAGCUCCUGCUGCAUGGUGGGGGUUGGAAAGUUUCGGCGGUUGGGGAUGGACUCGCUGCUUAUCGGCUUGUUGGUGUGGUAGUGGCUUACCAAGGCUUUGACGGGUAGCCGGCCUGAGAGGGUGAACGGCCACAAUGGGACUGAGGUACGGACCAGACUGCUACGGGAGGCAGCAGUGGGGAAUAUUGCACAAUGGGCGGACGCCUGAUGCAGCAACGCCGCGUGCGUGAUGACGGCCUUCGGGUUGUAAACCGCUCUGGCAUGUGACGAAGCGUGAGUGACGGUACUGGGUAAAGAAGCACCGGCUAACUACGUG